rnacentral:rRNA from 1 species
CGCGUAGGCGGUUUGCUAAGUCAGAUGUGAAAGUCCAUGGCUCAACUGUGGAAGUGCAUUUGAAACUGUCAGACUUGAGUAUCGGAGGGGAGUGUGGAAUUCCCGGUGUAGAGGUGAAAUUCGUAGAGAUCGGGAGGAACACCGGUGGCGAAGGCGACACUCUGGACGAAUACUGACGCUGAGGCGCGAAAGCGUGGGGAGCAAACA